rnacentral:misc_RNA from 1 species
UGUAGGAGUGAGCCUGCUCGCGAUAGCGGUGUGUCAGCAAAAUAAAUAUCAACUGACAGGACGCUAUCGCGAGCAGGCUCACUCCUACA